rnacentral:sRNA from 1 species
AAGAUGUUUUCUUGACGUGAUAUCAGAGUCUUGUUGACCUUCAGUCACGAGUUGAAUUUCAAACACCUUCAUUUUAUUUGAUAAAAAUCAA